UAUGUCUGCUUCCAUCAUACAAAAUUUAUAAGCUCAUCAAAUGAGUGCAGAGAUGCUAGCAUCUUUGUACCUAGCUGUGUUUUGGAAAAUUCGUGAAUUAGGCUGAGCUUGCUGCUGGGUGUUUUAAAGAUGGAAAUAAAGAAAGAAUCAGUCUUCUUUGUGAUAUACAUAUUCAGAAAAUGCAUCCAUUGCUUUAAAACUAGCCAAUCACCAUCGAGUACACAAAGCAUCACAACACAUCGCAUUGCCAUGAUGCACUACAUUGUGUUGCUUGCCUUCUUACUUACGACGUCUGCUCUCUACAGCUUCGAUGUGAUGUAUUGCCUUUCUCCUUUCGGUUGGUCUGGAUAGUGAAGAUGCUAGUGCACCAGUUUCUAGUUUUGAAAUCUGGGUUCGAAUUCUGAUU
rnacentral:lncRNA from 1 species